AGAAGAAGCACCGGCUAACUAUGUGCCAGCAGCCGCGGUAAUACAUAGGGUGCAAGCGUUGUCCGGAAUUAUUGGGCGUAAAGAGCUCGUAGGUGGUUUGUUACGUCGGAUGUGAAAACCUGAGGCUCAACCUCAGGCCUGCAUUCGAUACGGGCGAACUAGAGUUUGGUAGGGGAGACUGGAAUUCCUGGUGUAGCGGUGAAAUGCGCAGAUAUCAGGAGGAACACCGAUGGCGAAGGCAGGUCUCUGGGCCAUUACUGACACUGAGGAGCGAAAGCGUGGGGAGCGAACAGGAUUAGAUACCCUGGUAGUCCACGCCGUAAACGGUGGGCGCUAGUUGUGCGAACCUUCCACGGUUUGUGCGACGCAGCUAACGCAUUAAGUGCCCCGCCUGGGGAGUACGAUCGCAAGAUUAAAACUCAAAGGAAUUGACGGGGCCCCGCACAAGCAGCGGAGCAUGCGGCUUAAUUCGACGCAACGCGAAGAACCUUACCAAGGCUUGACAUAUACAGGAAUAUGGCAGAGAUGUCAUAGCCGCAAGGUCUGUAUACAGGUGGUGCAUGGUUGUCGUCAGCUCGUGUCGUGAGAUGUUGGGUUAAGUCCCGCAACGAGCGCAACCCUCGUUCUGUGUUGCCAGCAUUUAGUUGGGGACUCACAGGAGACUGCCGGGGUUAACUCGGAGGAAGGUGGGGAUGACGUCAAAUCAUCAUGCCCCUUAUGUCUUGGGCUGCACGCAUGCUACAAUGGCCGGUACAAAGUGCUGCGAGAUCGCAAGGUUGAGCGAAUCACAUAAAGCCGGUCUCAGUUCGGAUUGAGGUCUGCAACUCGACCCCAUGAAGUCGGAGUUGCUAGUAAUCGUAGAUCAGCAACGCUACGGUGAAUACGUUCCCGGGGCUUGUACACACCGCCCGUCACGUCACGAAAGUCGGUAACACCC
rnacentral:rRNA from 1 species